rnacentral:tRNA from 1 species
GAGGGUAUAGCUCAAUGGUAGAUCACAUGCUUAGCAUGUGCCAGGUCCUGGGUUCAGUCCCCAGUACCUCCA